rnacentral:misc_RNA from 1 species
CCAGACUCUCACCGACAGGAGCAGCAUCCCGGAAAGAUACAUCAAACCACCGCCGGACCGUCCGAGGGCUGUCGCUGUCUCUGACGUAAACAUCCCGGUUAUUGACCUGAAGCAUGAAGGAGGGCAAGCUGUGGCCGAGGCAUGCAGGGAGUGGGGGUUCUUCCAGGUGGUGAACCACGGGGUACCACCGGAGCUGAUGCGGGCGAUGCGGGAGGUGUGGCGGGGG